rnacentral:rRNA from 1 species
AACGAACGCUGGCGGCAGGCCUAACACAUGCAAGUCGAACGGUUGUAGCAAUACAGCCGUGGCGCACGGGUGAGUAACGCGUGGGAAUCUGCCCAGUAGUACGGAAUAACAGUUGGAAACGACUGACAAUACCGUAUACGCCCUUCGGGGGAAAGUUUUUCGCUAUUGGAUGAGCCCGCGUCAGAUUAGCUAGUUGGUGGGGUAAUGGCCUACCAAGGCGACGAUCUGUAGCUGUUCUGAGAGGAAGACCAGCCACACUGGAACUGAGACACGGUCCAGACUCCUACGGGAGGCAGCAGUGGGGAAUAUUGGACAAUGUGCGAAAGCCUGAUCCAGCCAUGCCGCGUGAGUGAUGAAGGCCUUAGGGUUGUAAAGCUCUUUUGGCGGGGAAGAUAAUGACGGUACCCGCAGAAUAAGUUCCGGCUAACUUCGUGCCAGCCGCCGCUGUAA